GCUCUCGGGUGACGAGCGGCGGACGGGUGAGUAAUGUCUGGGAAACUGCCUGAUGGAGGGGGAUAACUACUGGAAACGGUAGCUAAUACCGCAUAACGUCGCAAGACCAAAGUGGGGGACCUUCGGGCCUCAUGCCAUCAGAUGUGCCCAGAUGGGAUUAGCUAGUAGGUGGGGUAAUGGCUCACCUAGGCGACGAUCCCUAGCUGGUCUGAGAGGAUGACCAGCCACACUGGAACUGAGACACGGUCCAGACUCCUACGGGAGGCAGCAGUGGGGAAUAUUGCACAAUGGGCGCAAGCCUGAUGCAGCCAUGCCGCGUGUAUGAAGAAGGCCUUCGGGUUGUAAAGUACUUUCAGCGAGGAGGAAGGCAUUAAGGUUAAUAACCUUAGUGAUUGACGUUACUCGCAGAAGAAGCACCGGCUAACUCCGUGCCAGCAGCCGCGGUAAUACGGAGGGUGCAAGCGUUAAUCGGAAUUACUGGGCGUAAAGCGCACGCAGGCGGUCUGUUAAGUCAGAUGUGAAAUCCCCGGGCUCAACCUGGGAACUGCAUUUGAAACUGGCAGGCUUGAGUCUUGUAGAGGGGGGUAGAAUUCCAGGUGUAGCGGUGAAAUGCGUAGAGAUCUGGAGGAAUACCGGUGGCGAAGGCGGCCCCCUGGACAAAGACUGACGCUCAGG
rnacentral:rRNA from 1 species